rnacentral:lncRNA from 1 species
UGGCGGCCCCGCAGCGGGUCCCGGUCCGACCUCGCGCUGCUUCGGGACCCCGGAGAUCGGCCGGGCGGUGGGAGCAUGGCGAGGCUCGGGCUCGGAGCUGAACGCAAUAGCCAUCAUCGCCAUUAAUAAAAAAGAUUCCGUUCUCUGAGUGACCGAACACGCAUAGGCACACCUAUGUGCCCGGAUCCCGCUUUAUCCCAGCGGAGAAGAAUUAAUACUAGGAGAGUUGGAGCUGCAGCGACAGGAUGCCUUUAUUUCUGGUUUAGCCAUCCAAGUCUUCUGCAUCAACUCCACCAUUCAAACCAACAACUGAAGCCACGCCAAAGGCUGAAGUGUCUUCUUGCGCCGUCCCUUUACGAGUUACUUUUCUCGACGCGACUCAGUUUCAAAGAGAAAAAUAAGAGAAUAAUUUUUCCUCGUCUUUCAGCCUCGAAAAUUUUAAAUUAAUUCCUACCAAUAAAUACACACCCGCGGCUGUGCGCCGAUGUAGGUGCCACUGUUGUCCCUCCGGACCCCGACACCACACCGAAACGUUCAUGUGCCUUUAUUCCCACCCCCGAUUUGGGUGAUGGAAGAGCUUUUAUCCUACCGAGACCCGUGGGGGGGUGUCGGGUCGGAGGGACCCGGACAGCGCUGCGGGGGCCUCGCGGUGCCCGGGAGGACAGUGGAGUCGGGGGGCAGCGCCGGCCCCACAGAACAACCGGGAUCACUGCCGGCCCCCUCGCUGUGUACGGUUCUCAGCGCCCACGCUCUGCGUGGGUGUGCAGCGAUCCCCAC